GAGAGGAGGUGGUGACUCUCUGCUCAGCUAUCAGUGUCUUCAAAGAGAGGAGGCCAGCUUUAUUCACUGAGACUCAAAUCAAAGAGGAGUUCCGUCGGAUAACAACUAUUUCCCUGGAAGAAACAUGCAUGUUUAAGCUUGACAGUUACACACCUCGUCUUCUGCAGCUGAUGCGUCCCAAAAGAGGUGCUGUUGGUACCAGGAUGCGCUCUCUACUUAACACUGUAAAUUAGUCUCAGAGUAUUGAGAAUAAAAGGGAUGCAGUGCUCUCCUGCCUCAUUGAGUACCUAGGGGAGCCACAAGAAGAGCUCUUCCAAGACUCCCAGUUAAACAUGAAAAAUGACCAGGAGGGCCAAACAGAACAAACUAUGAAGGUGCUUUUGAUCCAUAACCCCAUGGCUGAGGACGAUCCAGUAGACGUAUCUAUUGUGAUAGAGGGCAUCCAACUGAUCAGUGGGUGUGGAUACAAAACCAAGGCAUGCAUGUUGUUGAUAGGAUUAAUCUAUGCCCUCAACCUUGAAUAUCCCAAGAAGCUCAAGAAUACUUUUGAAGUAUUUCAAAAACUUAUUUUGGAGCUAGAUGGGGUCAAUUGUCUCAAGAAGGUUCACAGCCUCAAAAUUAAACUCAUGGAAUAGACUGUUGUUGUUGUUAAUGUCAAAAUGUUGAAAUUUAUCUCAUUGUAUACAGUGUCUCAGGAUACAGUAAUUGGUAAAUAGAUGUUUGUUAUUUGAACAAAUAGGCUUCCUAAGUUUAAUUAAUGAACAAGUAGACACACUAUUUGAGCAAUGUUAGCCUAAUCUUUUGUAUUUUUAUAAUGCUGAAGGAAAAAACUCAAUUUCUUGUGAUCAAGAUUUGAAUA